rnacentral:rRNA from 1 species
AGAGUUUGAUCCUGGCUCAGGACGAACGCUGGCGGCGUGCCUAACACAUGCAAGUCGAACGGACGAGGCCCCUUCGGGGACCGAGUUAGUGGCGGACGGGUGAGUAACGCGUGAGCAACCUGCCUUUCAGAGGGGGACAACAGUUGGAAACGACUGCUAAUACCGCAUGAUGCAGCGAGAUCGCAUGGUCUUGCUGUCAAAGAUUUAUCGCUGAAAGAUGGGCUCGCGUCUGAUUAGCUAGUUGGAGGGGUAACGGCCCACCAAGGCGACGAUCAGUAGCCGGACUGAGAGGUUGAACGGCCACAUUGGGACUGAGAUACGGCCCAGACUCCUACGGGAGGCAGCAGUGGGGAAUAUUGGGCAAUGGGGGAAACCAUGACCCAGCAACGCCGCGUGAAGGAAGAAGGCUUUCGGGUUGUAAACUUCUUUUACCAGGGACGAAGAACGUGACGGUACCUGGAGAAAAAGCCACGGCUAACUACGUGCCAGCAGCCGCGGUAAUACGUAGGUGGCAAGCGUUGUCCGGAUUUACUGGGUGUAAAGGGCGUGUAGGCGGAGCUGCAAGUCAGAUGUGAAAUCUGGGGGCUUAACUCUCAAACUGCAUUUGAAACUGUAGCCCUUGAGUAUCGGAGAGGCAGGCGGAAUUCCUAGUGUAGCGGUGAAAUGCGUAGAUAUUAGGAAGAACACCAGUGGCGAAGGCGGCCUGCUGGACGACAACUGACGCUGAGGCGCGAAAGCGUGGGGAGCAAACGGGAUUAGAUACCCUGGUAGUCCACGCUGUAAACGAUGAAUACUAGGUGUGGGGGGACUGACCCCCUCCGUGCCGGAGUUAACACAAUAAGUAUUCCACCUGGGGAGUACGACCGCAAGGUUGAAACUCAAAGGAAUUGACGGGGGCCCGCACAAGCAGUGGAUUAUGUGGUUUAAUUCGACGCAACGCGAAGAACCUUACCGGGAUUUGACAUCCUACUAACGAAGCAGAGAUGCAUUAGGUGCCCUUCGGGGAAAGUAGAGACAGGUGGUGCAUGGUUGUCGUCAGCUCGUGUCGUGAGAUGUUGGGUUAAGUCCCGCAACGAGCGCAACCCCUAUUGUUAGUUGCUACGCAAGAGCACUCUAGCGAGACUGCCGUUGACAAAACGGAGGAAGGCGGGGACGACGUCAAAUCAUCAUGCCCCUUAUGUCCCGGGCUACACACGUAAUACAAUGGCGGUCAACAAAGGGAAGCAAAGCCGCGAGGCAGAGCAAACCCCCAAAAGCCGUCUCAGUUCGGAUUGUAGGCUGCAACUCGCCUGCAUGAAGCUGGAAUUGCUAGUAAUCGUGGAUCAGAAUGCCACGGUGAAUACGUUCCCGGGCCUUGUACACACCGCCCGUCACACCAUGAGAGUCGGGAACACCCGAAGUCCGUAGUCUAACCCGCAAGGGAGGGCGCGGCCGAAGGUGGGUCUGAUAAUUGGGGUGAAGUCGUAACAAGGUA